rnacentral:rRNA from 1 species
GAUGAACGCUGGCGGCGUGCCUAAUACAUGCAAGUCGAGCGAACGGACGAGAAGCUUGCUUCUCUGAUGUUAGCGGCGGACGGGUGAGUAACACGUGGAUAACCUACCUAUAAGACUGGGAUAACUUCGGGAAACCGGAGCUAAUACCGGAUAAUAUUUUGAACCGCAUGGUUCAAAAGUGAAAGACGGUCUUGCUGUCACUUAUAGAUGGAUCCGCGCUGCAUUAGCUAGUUGGUAAGGUAACGGCCUACAAAGGCAACGAUGCAUAGCCGACCUGAGAGGGUGAUCAGCCACACUGGAACUGAGCCACGGUCCAGACUCCUACGGGAGGCAGCAGUAGGGAAUCUUCCGCAAUGGGCGAAAGCCUGACGGAGCAACGCCGCGUGAGUGAUGAAGGUCUUCGGAUCGUAAAACUCUGUUAUUAGGGAAGAACAUAUGUGUAAGUAACUGUGCACAUCGUGACGGUACCUAAUCAGAAAGCCACGGCUAACUACGUG